UGUUUGAUUGAGUUGUUGACC
rnacentral:misc_RNA from 1 species